rnacentral:rRNA from 1 species
GAUGAACGCUGGCGGCGUGCCUAAUACAUGCAAGUCGAGCGAACAGACGAGGAGCUUGCUCCUUUGACGUUAGCGGCGGACGGGUGAGUAACACGUGGGUAACCUACCUAUAAGACUGGGAUAACUUCGGGAAACCGGAUCUAAUACCGGAUAAUAUUUCGAACCGCAUGGUUCGAUAGUGAAAGAUGGCUUUGCUAUCACUUCUAGAUGGACCUGCGCCGUAUUAGCUAGUUGGUAAGGUAACGGCUUACCAAGGCAACGAUACGUAGCCGACCUGAGAGGGUGAUCGGCCACACGGGAACUGAGACACGGUCCAGACUCCUACGGGAGGCAGCAGUAGGGAAUCUUCCGCAAUGGGCGAAAGCCUGACGGAGCAACGCCGCGUGAGUGAUGAAAGUCUUCGGAUCGUAAAGCUCUGUUAUUAGGGAAGAACAACCGUGUAAGUAACUGUGCACGUCUUGACGGUACCUAAUCAGAAAGCCACGGCUAACUACGUG